UUUUUUUUUUUAUAAAUAUAUUCAAUAUUUAUUUUCUGAGUUAUUUAUAAUACAUUAAGUCUUUUGUCUGUUUUUCAUUUCCAUCUGGCAAUCAAAAAAUAACUUUUUACUUCAACACAAUAAUUGGCUAGGGACAAAUAAAGCCUUUCUGACAUCUCUUGUUACAAAUAAAUGUGUUCUAAAGCAUUCUGCAACAUUCAUUUUAAAUGUAAUACUGAUUCAAAACAAGCUGUUGGAUUUUAUUGAACAUGGAUAAUUUUCCUAAUAAAAUUUUUUCUUCCACCAUUACACACAUAUGUUUAAUCAAAUGUUUUGAAUCAGUAUUAUAAUUUAUUCUGGCUACACAAAUAAUUAGCAAUGUCAUUAAUAUGCAUAUUUGGAAACAGCAAAACAAAUGUACAAAUCAC
rnacentral:lncRNA from 1 species